rfam:Columba livia unplaced genomic scaffold scaffold117, whole genome shotgun sequence.
GCUCCAGUGGCGCAAUCGGUCAGCGCACGGUACUUAUAGGACAGUACAUGGAGCGAUGCCGAGGUUGUGAGUUCGAGCCUCACCUGGAGCA